UUUUAAAAAGCUUUUGACAACACCACUCUGGAGGUUGGGUCCAACUCAGCGGUGAGGAGGUAUGUGUGAAACAAAUGCAAACUUUUGAGCUGAACCUCAGGAACAAACAGGUCAAAAUGCACAACCUGUUUUUUGAGGACAAUAUCUACAUUGCAAUCUUUGGCACUAAGUUGCCACAGCAGUUGCCAACUUGAGGACUAGGGUAUGGUAGGAGGGUAAGGAAAAGCACCAAAACUUCAACCAAAAUUUAACAGUUUUCACCAGGAGCAAUGGUACAUACCCGUAAUCCCAGCAACUCAGGGGGCUGAGGCAGAAAGAUCUUGUUCGAGGCCAGCCCGGGCACCUUGGUUAGCUCAGUAGUAGUACUGGUUUCAAUCCCCAGUACCACACACACACACACACACACACACACAAAAAUUGUUUCAUGAAGUAUUUCCUUGGUUGUUCUAGAUUUGUACUAGAUAUUGAAGUUCCAAAAUUUUGACUCUUGUCAACUUCAUGGUUAUUUCAGUAGAGGGCCAGAUCUUGGGAGUUCCCUAUACUAUUUUUGGUGACAUCAUCUUACAUAAUAUUUAAAAAUGAUUAGACUUUAGAAAUAAAGGAUAGAUUAGUGGUUGCCAGGGGAGGAAAGUAUCAUAUACAAAAGCAACUUAAAGGAUUCUCAUGAUAAUCGAGCUGUUCAGGAUCUUUGAUUCUGGUAGAGAGAUGAAUGCAAACGAUAAAAUUGUUUAGAACUAGACUCUAAGUACAAAACUGGGGAAAUCUGAAUAAAAUGAAUGGAUUCCACUAGUACAAUUUCCUGGCGGUGAUAAUAUUGCAGUUUUACAAAAUAUUUAUACUGGGGAAAACUGAGCUAAGCAUGCAAGGGAUCUUUGCAUUGUCUCUUAAGACUCCAUGUAUAUCUACAACUAUUUUUAUUUUUUAUGCAGUGC
rnacentral:lncRNA from 1 species